rnacentral:misc_RNA from 1 species
CUUCCAGGAGGAGGCUUCAAAGGAAGCAUACUGUCCACCCUUCCAGGAGGAGGAGGUACCCAUGCAAUUGUAUCGCUAAAUUUGCCAAUUGACUCAGCAGACAAUGCAAUUUCAUCAGGUGAGGCAUGUAGAGCAGUAGACUUGAUGCUGUCCAAAGACGAGUCCUUUCCAUGAUGACUUGAAUUCUUAUUAAGAGAUUGAUGAUCAACCUUCUCUUCUUUAAUAGAAUUUACUAAACCAAAAGAGUUAUGAGGAGAAC